rnacentral:hammerhead_ribozyme from 19 species
GGUGUGUCUGGCGCCGUUAGCCACUGAUGAGUCCUUGUGGUGAGGACGAAACACUAC